GUGUGGAUACCUUGGAGGUGUUGCGCCUGCAGCACUUGGAUGAGCCGCCGACGAGCCACCGACGAGCCACGACAAGCCGACGACGAGCCGCGGCACCGGAGGCGAUCUUGCUGCACGUGGACGAGCUGCUGAGGAGCUGCUGGACGUGAUCGACUACGUACGACUAUGUUGAUCGACUACGUACGACUACGUGAUCGUCUUCACUGCAUCGACGCAUAUCUACAUCUUCCGCAC
rnacentral:lncRNA from 1 species